UUGUCCAGAUGGUAAGAGUUAACUCCAUUGAGAAACAUUGUUCUUAUUUCUUUUUGAAAUUGGUUGUUAUUACUUGCAUGUAAACCAAAAUCGUUAUCAAUUUUCUUUUCAGCAUCAACAUAACAUGUUUGAUCCAGAGCAUUCAGUACACCGCCCCCCAUCUGGCAAUGGGAGCAGUGCGCUGGGUACCAUGCAUUUUACCCGGGCAAAGGCACGGAGGGGAAAUACCGAGGGCGAAGUAGAAGAUUCCACAAACAAAAGUGCUGCUAAGAUGGACAGUCUCAAGCCUGUUAAACAACAUAUUCUCUGGAAGAAGAAGGCUGAGAUGCUCCAGUCUCGGGUGGAUGAGCUGGAGGAGGAAAAUGGCUUACUCAAGAAGCAACUUGAAGAGAAGUCUGCACAAGAACAAGAUGGGAACAUGGAGAUAAUGGCCACUGGAGAUGAGGAGCCACAGGCCAUGAUGCUGGACUCCAGCACUGAUACUAGCACUGAUUCAAGCUCUGAUGACUCCAGCUCCAGCUCUACCUCUGACUCUUCGGUUGAGGAAAAGAAGAAAAAGAAGUAUAAGAAGAAAAAUGGCAAGAAGAGAAGUAAAAAAAGAAAGAAGGAAAACAAAAAAAUGAAGAGGUCAGGCAGAAAAGGAGAGCGAGGUAUAGUAGGCUCUUAAGACAUGCUGUACUUAUUUAGGUAUUAGCCUAGGUGUUUAGGUUAUCAUUUGUAUCUUACCUGAUAGCACACGUACAUGUAGACAGCAGAUGCUUUCCAGAUCAAGAGAUCAUUAACAGACAUCUUACAGACUUACGUGUGCUAUCUGGGUUAGUGGCUUUUUAACUGCAUUUGAGGCAUUGUGCACACUA